rnacentral:lncRNA from 1 species
UUUGAUUACUCAUCCUUUUCUAAUCUUCUCAUAUACUCCUAUACCAUAAAACAGCUUUGUUUUGAUUAAAUGGAGGUCAUUCAACAGCUUCUUUAUUAUGAUUUGCUCUAUUGUUUGUAAUGUUCAACCUCGACCGUGAUUUAUUUGAAUAAUUAAUUAAAAAGGUAUUAACUGUUACUACUUAUACCAGCUUAUUUUAGAUUAAUUUAUUAUGUUUUAUGGAAUAUUUUCUAACUUUCAUUUAUAAUAGUAAAAUUCUAGAAAUGAAAUUAUUGACUACAAACAUUCUAAGAUGAUUAUCAUUGAUAAUUGUUUACAACUCCUAGUGAUUGAACUUUGA